rnacentral:rRNA from 1 species
AGCGAACGCUGGCGGCAGGCCUAACACAUGCAAGUCGAACGGCAGCACAGUAAGUGCUUGCUCUUACGGGUGGCGAGUGGCGGACGGGUGCGGUAUACACCGGAAUCUACUUUUUCGUGGGGGAUAACGUAGGGAAACUUACGCUAAUACCGCAUAUGUCCCACGGGGGAAAGCAGGGGAUCUUUGGACCUUGUGGGGUGGAAUGAGCCGAUGUCGGGUUAGCUAGUUGGCGGGGUAAAGGCCCACCACAGCGACGAUCGGUAGCUGGUCCGAGAGGAUGGUCAGCCACACUGGAACUGAGACACGGUCCAGACUCCUACGGGAAGCAGCAGUGGGGAAUAUUGGGCAAUGGGGGCGAGCCUGAUCCAGCCAUACCGCGUGGGUGAAGAAGGCCUUCGGGUUGUAAAGCCCUUUUGUUGGGAAAGAAAAGCAGCAGUUUAAUACCCCGCGGUUCUGACGGUACCCAAAGAAGAAGCACCGGCUAACUUCGUG